rnacentral:tRNA from 1 species
UGUUUCUGCCAGGGCUUGAACCUGGAACCUUCCGCGUGUUUGGCGGAUGUGAUAACCACUACAAAACCAC